GCGCGGCUGGCCGCAUCCCUGCUGCUACUCGCGGCCCAGGUGGCCUGUGAGUUCGGUGUACUGCGAGUUGUGCCCCAAAGCGGUGGGACCCGGGGCAGGGACUACUGCAUCCUUUACAACCCACAGUGGGCCCACUUGCCUCAUGACCUCAACAAAGUGGUCCCUCCAAGAGGCAACAAGACACAGUAUGAGGAGAUAAGCAUCCCUGUGGCCCUGCUAAGCCACAGGGACCUUCAAGACAUCUUCAGGGGCUGCUGGUGGCCUACUGCCACAGGUUUGAUAUCCAGGUGCAGUCCUCCAGGAUUUACUUUGUGGCCUGCACCAUUGCCUAUGGCCUGGGCCUCCUGGUGACCUUCGUGGCUCUCGUCCUCAUGCGACAUGGCCAGCCUGCACUCCUCUACUUGGUCCCCUGCACACUGCUGACCAGCUGCACCGUGGCUCUGUGGCGCCGGGAGAUGGGCGCCUUCUGGACGGGCAGCGGUUUUGCGAAGGAUGCACCUCAGACCCCGUGGGCUGCACCCCAGGGACCUGUGCCUCCGAAGGAUGUGGAUGCCUCUCUCUCG
rnacentral:lncRNA from 1 species